GACGAACGCUGGCGGCGUGCUUAACACAUGCAAGUCGAACGGAAAGGCCCUGCUUUUGUGGGGUGCUCGAGUGGCGAACGGGUGAGUAACACGUGAGUAACCUGCCCUUGACUUUGGGAUAACUUCAGGAAACUGGGGCUAAUACCGGAUAGGAGCUCCUGCUGCAUGGUGGGGGUUGGAAAGUUUCGGCGGUUGGGGAUGGACUCGCGGCUUAUCAGCUUGUUGGUGGGGUAGUGGCUUACCAAGGCUUUGACGGGUAGCCGGCCUGAGAGGGUGACCGGCCACAUUGGGACUGAGAUAGGGCCCAGACUCCUACGGGGGGCAGCAGUGGGAAAUAUUGCAAAAGGGGCGGAAGCCUGAUGCAGAAACGCCGGGUGGGGGAGGACGGCCUUGGGGUUGUAAACCGCUUUCGCCUGUAACGAAGCGGGAGUGACGGAAAUGGGUAAAGAAGCACCGGCAAACUACGU
rnacentral:rRNA from 1 species